AACGAACGCUGGCGGCAGGCUUAACACAUGCAAGUCGAGGGGUAUAGUUCUUCGGAACUAGAGACCGGCGCACGGGUGCGUAACGCGUAUGCAAUCUACCUUUUGCAGAGGGAUAGCCCAGAGAAAUUUGGAUUAAUACCUCAUAGUAUGUGAGAAUGGCAUCAUUUUCACAUUAAAGUCACAACGGCAAAAGAUGAGCAUGCGUCCCAUUAGCUUGUUGGUAAGGUAACAGCUUACCAAGGCAACGAUGGGUAGGGGUCCUGAGAGGGAGAUCCCCCACACUGGUACUGAGACACGGACCAGACUCCUACGGGAGGCAGCAGUGAGGAAUAUUGGACAAUGGGCGCAAGCCUGAUCCAGCCAGGCCGCGUGCAGGAUGACGGUCCUAUGGAUUGUAAACUGCUUUUGUACAGGAAGAAACACUGGUUCGUGAACCAGCUUGACGGUACUGUAAGAAUAAGGAUCGGCUAACUCCGUGCCAGCAGCCGCCGUAACAC
rnacentral:rRNA from 1 species